ACGUGGCUAGAGGCGCGCCUGGGCCGCCAUUGCUUUGUGGGGGUUAUUGCGUGUGCGAGAGGGAAUGAAGGCAGCCAGAGCGGAAUCUUGAGCGAGGAACUUCCGGGAAAAGGCGAUUAAUCUCAAGAGUGGCACCAUUGAAUUUAGUGAAGUUAUAUCAGCCUUCUACAUAGAAAUGAACUGCAGCACCUUCUCCAACAGAAGCUUUUCAUCCUAGUAUAUUCUUUCCAUGUGCUCUGCUGCUUAGAAUUCUUCUUUUCUACAACAGCCUGAAGUAGAAUUACCAUGGUGAAAUAUUGUGCAGCAUAUAACUGCACCAAUUCAGACACAAAGUUGAAUAGGAAACAAGGAAUAACUUUUCGCAGGUUUCCCUUGUUGCAAUAAAGCAAGAAUGGGCCAUGUCAGUACACCGAGCUGACCCUGUUAGUGGCAAACUUUGGAUGCCAUCUCAGUGGGACAUGAUUUGUUCUCAACAUUUUAGCCCAGAGUGCUUCAAAGAAAUUAAUGGAAAGAAGUUUCUGAAGGAAGAAAGUUGUCCUUCUAUAUUUUCCUUUCCUGACACUUCUAAGAAAAUACACGCUCCAAAAAAUGAAGAAAGAACUCCAAGAGGGCUGGAGCACUUGACUUCACUCUUGCCAAGGCAAAUGUCAGCAAAAAUGAGAUGUGCAGUCAGAUCAUGCAAACUACACCAGCUAAUGAUUCACAAAAAUCACUUGAGCACAAAGAGCAUAAAGUGGAUAUGAAUAGCUUUUCUUCAAAAAUAAGCCCCACUGAGGUAUAUAGUGCAAAGUAUACCCUCACAGUAAGCAUAAAAGCAGUUACUUUGUCAACAGUCCUCUUCAGAAUCUAAUGAUUGUAAAUGUUGAGUGCAGAAACAAUUGCUUCAAGGUAGGUUUUGGCCCAAUCCUGAAAUUAUGAUUCAGAUUAAAUCUUUAAGGAAGCCAUGAGAUAUCGGGGCAUUCAGCACAAUAAUAGGACUUUAAAUUGAACAUGUAUGUUAAAGUUCAAAAUUAUACUUAAAUGUUGUGCUUGGGUAUGUAGAAGCAGAGCCUCAAAUUUACUGACUGCUUUUAAAGAAAGGGUUGGUGCUGUGAUGUUUUUACUGUUGGUGUU